GCCGGCAUAGCUCAGUUGGUAGAGCAGCUGAUUUGUAAUCAGCAAGUCAUCGGUUCGAGCCCGAUAGCCGGCU
rnacentral:tRNA from 1 species